rnacentral:lncRNA from 1 species
CAAUGUAUUUCAAAUGAAAAAUUGGAACACCUGAAAAUGUAUAAUGGAGCUGCAUGAAUAAGAUGAAGGGAAUAUGAUUUUGAUCUUAUUUAGUCCCCCGCAGCAGCGGCAUAUCAUAUGUACAAUUAUUCUCAAGAUAUAUUUGACACGGUUAUUUGUACAGUCAGCAUAUUUUUACAGGUAAAGCAGACUUCAAGAUUAUGGUCAAGGAAUCUCAAGAAAUGAUCAGCUAACCUUGAAAGAUAUACAGAAGGCCACAGGUGCCCACUCAUUUCUGAGCACAUAAAGCAUCUUCGGUACUUGAGCAAGGCGCAUGUCCAAGGGACCAGAUCCUGACUGGAUCUUAUGCACCGUCAUGCUCUCCCAUGGUACAUAGAAGUCAGAAACUGCAGCUGCAAGAUAGAACAUAGCACUAGGCCUGUAAGAAAAUACCAGAAGAUGUGACAAGAACUGAAAUUAGAUGACAUGUUAUAUAUCUACCAUUUCUUGUAUUGAAACAAAAGAGGGAGGAGACAAAAAACAAAUACAGAAAUUCACGAAGAUUGAACUGAAUCCAACCGUUUCAAACUGCAAAUUCAACCAAAACAAUGCAAGAAGAAAUGAAAUGAUUACCAUGCUCUCCCAUGGUACAUAGAAGUCAGAAACUGCAGCUGCAAGAUAGAACAUACCACUAGGCCCACGGCUCCUUAAAGAGCCAGCAAUCAGCCGAAGAAUCUGCUUAAUACGAAU